rnacentral:rRNA from 1 species
GAGUAACGCGUAUCCAACCUGCCCACCACUUGGGGAUAACCUUGCGAAAGUAAGACUAAUACCCAAUGACGUCUCUAGAAGACAUCUGAAAGAGAUUAAAGAUUUAUCGGUGAUGGAUGGGGAUGCGUCUGAUUAGCUUGUUGGCGGGGUAACGGCCCACCAAGGCGACGAUCAGUAGGGGUUCUGAGAGGAAGGUCCCCCACAUUGGAACUGAGACACGGUCCAAACUCCUACGGGAGGCAGCAGUGAGGAAUAUUGGUCAAUGGACGAGAGUCUGAACCAGCCAAGUAGCGUGCAGGAUGACGGCCCUAUGGGUUGUAAACUGCUUUUAUAAGGGAAUAAAGUGAGUCUCGUGAGACUUUUUGCAUGUACCUUAUGAAUAAGGACCGGCUAAUUCCGUGCCAGCAGCCGCGGUAAUACGGAAGGUCCGGGCGUUAUCCGGAUUUAUUGGGUUUAAAGGGAGCGUAGGCCGGAGAUUAAGCGUGUUGUGAAAUGUAGACGCUCAACGUCUGCACUGCAGCGCGAACUGGUUUCCUUGAGUACGCACAAAGUGGGCGGAAUUCGUGGUGUAGCGGUGAAAUGCUUAGAUAUCACGAAGAACUCCGAUUGCGAAGGCAGCUCACUGGAGCGCAACUGACGCUGAAGCUCGAAAGUGCGGGUAUCGAACAGGAUUAGAUACCCUGGUAGUCCGCACGGUAAACGAUGGAUGCCCGCUGUUGGUCUGAAUAGGUCAGCGGCCAAG